rnacentral:lncRNA from 10 species
UUUGCAUCUGGGAAGAGGUUGUGUCCAGAGGGGCUUCUUAGUUUUACAGCUGGGUCCACUCAAACCAGUCCGACAAGCCAGCAUUACAUAGAGGAGCCCAGCCAAACACAGGCACUUCAAUCACGCUCAAUUCACUUGGGUUCUGGUAUACCUCAGAGAUAUCGUGAGUUCAGUUCCAGACCACCAAAAUAAAAUGAAUAUCGCAAUAAAAUUCACACUGAAACACAGCUCUUCCUGGGUCAUGAGCCUGCUGGUCUUCAGAUUGGAACUACACUAUCAGCUUUCCUGUGUCUCCAGCUUGCUGACUGUGAAUCUUUGGACUUGGGACUUGUCAGCCUCCAUAAUUUAUUGAGCCAAUUUGGUAUAAUAAAUCUCUCUCUCCCUCUCUCUCUGUAGGUAUAUAUUAUUUGUUCUGUUUCUCUGUAGAACUCUAGUAUAUCCCUUUCCCAGGGUUUGUUGUUGUGGCUAUUUGUUUGUUUAAUGACUUUCUUGAAGUAAUUCAUACAGUUGUACUCUUUGUUGUGUGCUGCCCAUGUAGUCUCUACUUGGUUAGUUUAGUGGUCAGCUAAUGAUUGAACAGACAUUUGCUUAAAUUCCAGGACCAAUAAAUCUCCCUCCCACACUUUGCUGAGAGGCUGUGUGUGUGUGUGUGUGUGUGUGUGUGUGUGUGUGUAUGUGUUGGGACACACCUUCAAUUCUAGGGAAGUUCACAACUCUGCCUUAGUCUUCACUUCUUGCUUGUACAGAACUAACUCUCAGCUAGAGUUGAGAGAUUAGGGCCUCUUCAGGUCUUUCCUGAUCAUACACACAGUCCUGCAAAUGCACAUGGCUAUCUAGAUUCCCAGGAGUAUGUCAAAACUUUUCAAAAUCUCCUACAGACCUCUAAUGACCCACACUUACCAUUUAAUUAUUUUGGUUAGCCUCUUGUUUGCCCCAGCUUGGAGUACUGCUUCAUGCAGCUGCAAUAAUAAACAAUUGCCACUGACUGUUUUCAACAAAUGGUUUGGGUAUUGAGCUUUUCUCAUGGAGUGAACUCUGAGUCAGGUCAAAUAAAGAAAAUCUUUCUAAUUUUUUUUAAGGGAGCUGACAGAUCAAACAGUGGUAAUUCUCUCCGUGUAAGGCUUUUGGAGGAGAUCCAAACCCAGCCCUGUUCAGUGGCUGCCAGGAUUUUGGUUUUCACAGCCACCAUGACUGUGAGGCUCCCAGAUUUCAAAGCUACCACAUAGUUGGAGAGAGGAAAACAGGAAUGGAGCAAGUUAAAACACCACAAAAUGUACUAUUCUUAUCAAAGUUUAGCCCUUUUUUUUGAAUAAAUGCUUCUCUAAUUGUUGCAAGUCUUUGGUUAAUUUCCAAAGUUCUGAAAAGGUUAAUUUUGGCCAUUUGGGGCCAGUUUUUAAAUUGCUUUUAUAUACAACAGAUUUUGUCAGGUUCUUACUCUGCCAGUUUAGAAGUGCUUCCUCUAUUCUGCAAGUUUUACACGUUCAAAACUUUUGUCUGUCAUCUUUACACUUGCUGGAAAUAAAAGUUUGGCU